UGGAAAAUAGUAUAUAAAGAAUAUCUCAUUUACACUGAGAAGGUGGCCAUGGGCCUUUUCCUU
rnacentral:tRNA from 1 species